rnacentral:rRNA from 1 species
GACGAACGCUGGCGGCGUGCUUAACACAUGCAAGUCGAACGGAAAGGCCCUGCUUUUGUGGGGUGCUCGAGUGGCGAACGGGUGAGUAACACGUGAGUAACCUGCCCUUGACUUUGGGAUAACUUCAGGAAACUGGGGCUAAUACCGGAUAGGAGCUCCUGCUGCAUGGUGGGGGUUGGAAAGUUUCGGCGGUUGGGGAUGGACUCGCGGCUUAUCAGCUUGUUGGUGGGGUAGUGGCUUACCAAGGCUUUGACGGGUAGCCGGCCUGAGAGGGUGACCGGCCACAUUGGGCCUGAGAUACGGCCCAGACUCCUACGGGAGGCAGCAGUGGGGAUUAUUGCACAAUGGGCGGAAGCCUGAUGCAGCAACGCCGCGUGCGGGAUGACGGCCUUCGGGUUGUAAACCGCUUUCGCCUGUGACGAAGCGUGAGUGACGGUAAUGGGUAAAGAAGCACCGGCUAACUACGUG